GAUGAACGCUGGCGGCGUGCCUAAUACAUGCAAGUCGAGCGAACAGAUGAGGAGCUUGCUCCUCUGACGUUAGCGGCGGACGGGUGGGUAACACGUGGAUAACCUACCUAUAAGACUGGGAUAACUUCGGGAAACCGGAGCUAAUACCGGAUAAUAUAUUGAACCGCAUGGUUCAAUAGUGAAAGACGGUUUUGCUGUCACUUAUAGAUGGAUCCGCGCCGCAUUAGCUAGUUGGUAAGGUAACGGCUUACCAAGGCAACGAUGCGUAGCCGACCUGAGAGGGUGAUCGGCCACACUGGAACUGAGACACGGUCCAGACUCCUACGGGAGGCAGCAGUAGGGAAUCUUCCGCAAUGGGCGAAAGCCUGACGGAGCAACGCCGCGUGAGUGAUGAAGGUCUUCGGAUCGUAAAACUCUGUUAUUAGGGAAGAACAAAUGUGUAAGUAACUAUGCACGUCUUGACGGUACCUAAUCAGAAAGCCACGGCUAACUACGUA
rnacentral:rRNA from 1 species